UACGUAGGGUGCAAGCGUUGUCCGGAAUUAUUGGGCGUAAAGAGCUCGUAGGCGGUUUGGCAAGUCGGGUGUGAAAUCUCUGGGCUCAACUCAGAGAGGCCACUCGAUACUGCUAUGACUAGAGUCCGGUAGGGGACCAUGGAAUUCCUGGUGUAGCGGUGAAAUGCGCAGAUAUCAGGAGGAACACCGGUGGCGAAGGCGGUGGUCUGGGCCGGCACUGACGCUGAGGAGCGAAAGCGUGGGGAGCGAACAGG
rnacentral:rRNA from 1 species